UACGUAGGUGGCAAGCGUUGUCCGGAUUUACUGGGCGUAAAGAGCGCGCAGGCGGUCGUUCAAGUCGCGUGUGAAAGCCCCCGGCUCAACUGGGGAGGGUCACGCGAUACUGAUCGACUCGAAGGCAGGAGAGGGUAGUGGAAUUCCCGGUGUAGUGGUGAAAUGCGUAGAUAUCGGGAGGAACACCGGUGGCGAAAGCGGCUCUCUGGUCCGGACCUGACGCUGAGGCGCGAAAGCGUGGGGAGCAAACAGG
rnacentral:rRNA from 1 species